rnacentral:misc_RNA from 1 species
GAUGAAGAACGUAGCGAUAUGCGAUACUUGGUGUGAAUUGCAGAAUCCCGUGAACCAUCGAGUCUUUGAACGCAAGUUGCGCCCGAAGCCAUCAGGUUGAGGGCACGUCUGCCUGGGCGUCACAUAUCGUUGCCCAAUGCCUAUUGCAGUGCAAUAGGAAUUUCUAGGGCGAAUGAUGGCUUCCCGUGAGCGUUGUUGCCUCGCGGUUGGUUGAAAAUCGAGUCCUUGGUAGGGUGUGCCAUGGUAGAUGGUGGUCGAGUUAGAACGAUACCGAUCAUGUGCAUGCUCCCCAAAAUAUGGCCUCUAUGACCCACACGCGUCUUUUGACGCUCAUGACGAGACCUCAGGUCAGGCGGGGCUACCCGCUGAAUUUAAGCAUAUCAAUAAGCGGAGGA